rnacentral:rRNA from 1 species
GGCGACUACCUGGAUUACCAGCACUGACACUGAGGCACGAAAGCGUGGGGAGCAAACAGGAUUAGAUACCCUGGUAGUCCACGCCCUAAACGAUGCGAACUGGAUGUUGGGGGCAACUUGGCCCUCAGUAUCGAAGCUAACGCGUUAAGUUCGCCGCCUGGGAAGUACGGUCGCAAGACUGAAACUCAAAGGAAUUGACGGGGGCCCGCACAAG